rnacentral:rRNA from 1 species
GUCUAGAGGCUUCGGCAAUGGGGGAAACCCUGACCGAGCGACGCCGCGUGCGGGACGAAGGUCUUACGGCUGUAAACCGCUGUCGAUGGGGAAGAAUACCCGGAUGGCGAAUCCGGGGGCGACGGUACCCAUGAAGGAAGCCCCGGCUAACUCCGUGCCAGCAGCCGCGGUAAUACGGAGGGGGCGAACGUUGUUCGGAAUUACUGGGCGUAAAGGGUGCGUAGGCGGUUCGAUAAGUCGGAUGUGAAAUCCCGCGGCUCAACCGCGGAACUGCAUUGGAAACUGUCGAGCUCGAGGGUGGGAGAGGCCGGUGGAAUUCCUGGUGUAGCGGUGGAAUGCGUAGAUAUCAGGAAGAACACUCGUGGCGAAGGCGGCCGGCUGGCCCAUUUCUGACGCUGAAGCACGAAAGCCAGGGGAGCAAACGGGAUUAGAAACCCUAGUAGUCC